ACCACCUCUCCUCUACGGGUCUCCAGGGUUGCGGAAAAAAAAAGCGGCGCCAGCAGGCUACGGGGAGGAGGGCAGCGCCCUGCCGACGAUUUAUCUGGCUACUUCCUCCCCGUCGAUCCCUGCCUGGACCAUACCGUCUCCAUCUUGAAGAAGGCUCGAUCUUUUCCGGCGUCAGAUUGAUGAGUUCGUGAUGUACGAAAAGAGAAUGCCUUAGAAAGACCGGUCAUACGAAAGAGCACUUAUUACUAUUGAAAUAUUAUGGUGACGAUGUUUAGCAGUCAUAAAAGAGAAGGUUCCAUGUUGCCAUGUUCUUUCUGAAGUUAAAUUGGCAUUACAAAUUUUGUGAUCAAUAACUUUCAGAAGAAAAAGGUUGCUCAAGCUACUCUUCAUCAAGUUUGCACAUAUCAUGGUAUAGUCAUCAACGACCACAAUCAUGAUGCGCUCAAGAAAAUGUUCAGGAGUUACUCAACAACACAAUAGUGGAGCGGAACCCAUCACUACUUAGUGAUUUGGAAAGCAGAGUACUAUUACUUUACAGAGGGAGUACAUUGUGGUACUUUGAUUUUUCUUUGCAAUAUUUAUUACAUAGAGAUAAUCUAGAGCAUUCUGGAGGGAAACUAAUCGGUAUGGAAUACUGAUGCAUAUGCAUUUUCUGGUGCAACUUGCUUCUAGGAUGCGGCAACCAUUUGAGAAAAUUUUAUACUUCCUCUGUCCUUAAUUAUUUGUUAGAUAAAUGGAUGUGAUACGAUCAAGGAUCCUCAAAAAGAUUUAUCUCCCAUUUCAAGAUAAUUUGCCAAACCGUUGAGAGCCAGGACGUGCAUCCAGUAGCAACUUCAACAUUGUCUACGCAUCAAACAAACCACCUGAACAAGAGCAAAAGAACCAGCUUCAUCUAUCUACCACUACAUUGUAGAGACACACCCAGCUGGAGGAUCAACAUCUCAAGUCUAGGAAGAGAACAAGAGCUUCACAAUUCUGCAUUCAGUAUCCACUAUCACUACGUGUUGUAGAUCACCUAUGCAUGUACCAACUAGAUGUACCUUUUCCUGAUCACCUAUGCAUGUAUCAACUACAUGUACCUAUCCUUGUAUGAACUAUUUUGCUACAAUCGAGUUUUGAAAUGACUUACCUAAUAUUUAUAGAAAAUCUAAAUAGCUUAUCAAUCUACAUGGCGCGGCGUGCCGCCGCGCACUACCCGCUAGUACUAAGAAUACUAGGCCCGUAAGGGUUCCUUUUUUCUAGGUUUUUUGGAAUUUUUUUACAGCCUCUUGGUAAAACUACGCGUGUAACU